UAUUGCUAGGGGAGCUUAAUGCUGAGAGGAUCAUGCAUACCGCAUGUAAUACCCUUAUCACCUGACCCGGACAGUACCGGCGUAGGGAAGCAGCUUUUUA
rnacentral:ncRNA from 1 species